rnacentral:rRNA from 1 species
GGGACACGUGGUAUCCUGUCUGAAUAUGGGGGGACCAUCCUCCAAGGCUAAAUACUCCUGACUGACCGAUAGUGAACCAGUACCGUGAGGGAAAGGCGAAAAGAACCCCGGCGAGGGGAGUGAAAAAGAACCUGAAACCGUGUACGUACAAGCAGUGGGAGCCUCUUUUAUGGGGUGACUGCGUACCUUUUGUAUAAUGGGUCAGCGACUUAUAUUCUGUAGCAAGGUUAACCGAAUAGGGGAGCCGAAGGGAAACCGAGUCUUAACUGGGCGUUAAGUUGCAGGGUAUAGACCCGAAACCCGGUGAUCUAGCCAUGGGCAGGUUGAAGGUUGGGUAACACUAACUGGAGGACCGAACCGACUAAUGUUGAAAAAUUAGCGGAUGACUUGUGGCUGGGGGUGAAAGGCCAAUCAAACCGGGAGAUAGCUGGUUCUCCCCGAAAGCUAUUUAGGUAGCGCCUCGUGAAUUCAUCUCCGGGGGUAGAGCACUGUUUCGGCAAGGGGGUCAUCCCGACUUACCAACCCGAUGCAAACUGCGAAUACCGGAGAAUGUUAUCACGGGAGACACACGGCGGGUGCUAACGUCCGUCGUGAAGAGGGAAACAACCCAGACCGCCAGCUAAGGUCCCAAAGUCAUGGUUAAGUGGGAAACGAUGUGGGAAGGCCCAGACAGCCAGGAUGUUGGCUUAGAAGCAGCCAUCAUUUAAAGAAAGCGUAAUAGCUCACUGGUCGAGUCGGCCUGCGCGGAAGAUGUAACGGGGCUAAACCAUGCACCGAAGCUGCGGCAGCGACGCUUAUGCGUUGUUGGGUAGGGGAGCGUUCUGUAAGCCUGUGAAGGUGUGCUGUGAGGCAUGCUGGAGGUAUCAGAAGUGCGAAUGCUGACAUAAGUAACGAUAAAGCGGGUGAAAAGCCCGCUCGCCGGAAGACCAAGGGUUCCUGUCCAACGUUAAUCGGGGCAGGGUGAGUCGACCCCUAAGGCGAGGCCGAAAGGCGUAGUCGAUGGGAAACAGGUUAAUAUUCCUGUACUUGGUGUUACUGCGAAGGGGGGACGGAGAAGGCUAUGUUGGCCGGGCGACGGUUGUCCCGGUUUAAG